rnacentral:rRNA from 1 species
UACGUAGGGUGCAAGCGUUGUCCGGAUUUAUUGGGUUUAAAGGGUGCGUAGGUGGCUGAUUAAGUCAUGGGUGAAAGCCCGCAGCUCAACUGUGGAAUUGCCUGUGAUACUGAUUAGCUUGAGUGCAGUUGAGGCAGCUGGAAUUGGUGUUGUAGUGGUGAAAUGCAUAGAUACCACUAGGAACACCGAUUGCGAAGGCAGGUUGCUAAGCCGUAACUGACACUGAGGCUAGAAAGCGUGGGGAGCAAACAGG